rnacentral:rRNA from 1 species
UCUAAGGGCGUUGAAGCAUGAUCGUAAGGACAUGUGGAGCGCUUAGAAGUGAGAAUGCCGGUGUGAGUAGCGAAAGACGGGUGAGAAUCCCGUCCACCGAUUGACUAAGGUUUCCAGAGGAAGGCUCGUCCGCUCUGGGUUAGUCGGGUCCUAAGCUGAGGCCGACAGGCGUAGGCGAUGGAUAACAGGUUGAUAUUCCUGUACCACCUAUAAUCGUUUUAAUCGAUGGGGGGACGCAGUAGGAUAGGCGAAGCGUGCGAUUGGAUUGCACGUCUAAGCAGUAAGGCUGAGUAUUAGGCAAAUCCGGUACUCGUUAAGGCUGAGCUGUGAUGGGGAGAAGACAUUGUGUCUUCGAGUCGUUGAUUUCACACUGCCGAGAAAAGCCUCUAGAUAGAAAAUAGGUGCCCGUACCGCAAACCGACACAGGUAGUCAAGAUGAGAAUUCUAAGGUGAGCGAGCGAACUCUCGUUAAGGAACUCGGCAAAAUGACCCCGUAACUUCGGGAGAAGGGGUGCUCUUUAGGGUUAACGCCCAGAAGAGCCGCAGUGAAUAGGCCCAAGCGACUGUUUAUCAAAAACACAGGUCUCUGCUAAACCGUAAGGUGAUGUAUAGGGGCUGACGCCUGCCCGGUGCUGGAAGGUUAAGAGGAGUGGUUAGCUUCUGCGAAGCUACGAAUCGAAGCCCCAGUAAACGGCGGCCGUAACUAUAACGGUCCUAAGGUAGCGAAAUUCCUUGUCGGGUAAGUUCCGACCCGCACGAAAGGCGUAACGAUUUGGGCACUGUCUCAACGAGAGACUCGGUGAAAUCAUAGUACCUGUGAAGAUGCAGGUUACCCGCGACAGGACGGAAAGACCCCGUGGAGCUUUACUGUAGCC